rnacentral:rRNA from 1 species
CAGAGAAAGGCGAUCGCCUCCUUGUUCAUGCUUAUGUCUUGGGAGAUUUGGAAAGAGCAUAAUGCAAGGGUCUUUCACAACACUGCCGCUACAACGAUGAUGGUCGUCGCGAAGAUCAAAGAGGCGGCCCAUCUUUGGGCUAUGGCAGGUGCCACUCACUUGAGUAUUGUAAUGCUGCGAGAGUAG